GACGAACGCUGGCGGCGUGCUUAACACAUGCAAGUCGAACGGAAGAGCCCUGCUUUUGUGGGGUGCUCGAGUGGCGAACGGGUGAGUAACACGUGAGUAACCUGCCCUUGACUUUGGGAUAACUUCAGGAAACUGGGGCUAAUACCGGAUAGGAGCUCCUGCUGCAUGGUGGGGGUUGGAAAGUUUCGGCGGUUGGGGAUGGACUCGCGGCUUAUCGGCUUGUUGGUGGGGUAGUGGCUUACCAAGGCUUUGACGGGUAGCCGGCCUGAGAGGGUGACCGGCCACAUUGGGACUGAGAUACGGCCCAGACUCCUACGGGAGGCAGCAGUGGGGAAUAUUGCACAAUGGGCGGAAGCCUGAUGCAGCAACGCCGCGUGCGGGAUGACGGCCUUCGGGUUGUAAACCGCUUUCGCCUGUGACGAAGCGUGAGUGACGGUAAUGGGUAAAGAAGCACCGGCUAACUACGUG
rnacentral:rRNA from 1 species